rnacentral:rRNA from 1 species
UGGGGAAUAUUGCGCAAUGGGGGAAACCCUGACGCAGCGACGCCGCGUGAGCGAAGAAGGCCUUAGGGUUGUAAAGCUCUGUUUUAAGGGACGAAUGUCGUGGGGAGUAAUAUGCUCUGCGAAUGACGGUACCUUAAGAGGAAGCCCCGGCUAACUACGUGCCAGCAGCCGCGGUAAGACGUAGGGGGCGAGCGUUGUCCGGAAUUACUGGGCGUAAAGAGCACGUAGGCGGGAACUUAAGUCAGGUGUGAAAGACCGGGGCUCAACUCCGGGGUUGCACUUGAAACUGGGUUUCUUGAGGGCAGGAGAGGAAAGCAGAAUUCCUGGUGUAGCGGUGAAAUGCGUAGAAAUCAGGAGGAAUACCAGUGGCGAAGGCGGCUUUCUGGACUGACCCUGACGCUGAGGUGCGAAAGCGUGGGUAGCAAACAG